UACGUAGGGUGCGAGCGUUGUCCGGAAUUAUUGGGCGUAAAGAGCUCGUAGGCGGUUUGUCGCGUCGGCCGUGAAAACUUGGGGCUUAACUCCAAGCUUGCGGUCGAUACGGGCAGACUUGAGUUCGGCAGGGGAGACUGGAAUUCCUGGUGUAGCGGUGAAAUGCGCAGAUAUCAGGAGGAACACCGGUGGCGAAGGCGGGUCUCUGGGCCGAUACUGACGCUGAGGUGCGAAAGCGUGGGGAGCAAACAGG
rnacentral:rRNA from 1 species